AACCCAUGGUGAGGGCACCUUCUCAAAAGGUCCUUAUAUCUCUCCCAUGCAUCGUAGAGUGUUUCUAAAUCCAUCUGCACAAAA
rnacentral:snoRNA from 1 species